rnacentral:rRNA from 1 species
UACGUAGGGUGCGAGCGUUGUCCGGAAUUAUUGGGCGUAAAGGGCUCGUAGGCGGUUUGUCGCGUCGGGAGUGAAAACCAGGUGCUUAACACCUGGCUUGCUUUCGAUACGGGCAGACUAGAGGUAUUCAGGGGAGAACGGAAUUCCUGGUGUAGCGGUGAAAUGCGCAGAUAUCAGGAGGAACACCGGUGGCGAAGGCGGUUCUCUGGGAAUGACCUGACGCUGAGAAGCGAAAGUGUGGGGAGCGAACAGG